UUUUCUCAAUCAAAGAAAUAAUAUAUUCAAGGCAUAAACAAUUGUGUACUUUCUCUCUUUUCUAUACAAAUCAGAACAUAGCUCUUUCGUUUUUAUUUUUUUAGUUUCUCAUUUCCAGUUUCCAAGUUCGGCUGUGAAUUUUGAUUCAUAAAUUGAUCAAACUCCAAAACAACAUGUCCUGAAGGCCAACAUUGCAUUCAACAUUCUAGCCAUCCCCACUUGCUACUACUUGUUGACACAACAAACACUAUAUUUAUAAAUGUGUUAAUGUUAGAUGCUUUGCAUGCCAAUCCAAGUGCUCACCAUCAGAAUCAGAUGGUGGAGUUUAUUAUGGCUGCAAUAGAUGUAAAACUAUUUUCUUCAUAAACAGUGCAUUGACCAAUUACCUGAAGAAAUCCAAACCUCCCACCAUCCUAAUCACACUCAUCUCUCCCUUCAUAUGAAGCAAUCAAUCAUGUGCAAUACUAAGGAAUUCCAUAAAACAAAUUCCUCCAAAUUUCAAUGUUUGGAUUGUGAUUUCAAACUUCAUUUAUUAUGCGGUCCAUUGCAUUCUAUCAUAAAACAUGACAGCCAUAUGCACUACUUAGAUCUUGUUGAUCCAUUCAUUGAGGAUACCUCUGGUGAAUAUUGUUGUGAUGUUUGUGAAGAAGAAAGAAAUCCACGAAUUUGUGUUUAUUGUUGUCGGAAGUGCAAAUAUAUCGCUCACGUACAUUGUGUUAUCUCUGAGAAAAUUGAUGAUAGAAAGGCCGGUGGCGAGUAAGACCUAGGAGCUUCGUGAUGUACUCGUGGGGACCAUAUAGUUAGGGAAGAUCAAGUGGGCUUAUUUAUGUAUUUUUAUUAAAGAUUGUGUUCUUUUGAAGUUUUAUUUAAAUGUUGCUCAUUUUUAUAUGUUAAAGACAAUUAUUUUAUUUUUUGUAAAACCAUAGAUCCAUAUAUUUAUUUUCAAGUUUUUAUUCAAUAAAAGA